CAGAAAGCUGCAGCGAGCACAUGCGGAUUUUCAUCCGUCUUUAUAUUGUGAUUUAACCGUGCUAAACCUGUCAACGUGCCAACGGCGUCAUAGAGUGGAGCUGGAUUGAUUCAGAUAUUCCCCGAUUACAAGGCACUUAAUUGGAAUAAAUCCUGAAAAAGGCACCAAGGGUGGACAAGUCCUAUCAAAGCGGACAGGGAAGGUCGGCCACAAAAAGAAAUCAGUCAGCACUCGGGUUGCCAGUCUACUUAAGAAACUAAUGGACUUUGAGUGGGACUUCAUAUAAGUGAACUCACUCAUCCACUAACAUACACACAUACACACCUUACACAUACUCUUCACACAUGACAAAAACAUGCUUUUAGUGUGUUAGUCGCACAAUUUUUUAUAAUGUUAUGUAAAUGUUUUGUUUAUUCAGUUAAACGAAAGUUUAUUCUGAGGCUUAAAUUUUAGUCACUCCACUUGCAUCAGCCACUAAUUUUGAGAUUAUUUUGAGAUUAAAGUGGACUUUUUUUUCAAGGUUUCAAGUUUUAAUAAAGCACAUUUUGAAGUUACACUGCAUUGUGUUACAUUUUUAAUGUUUCAAAGGCUAUAUUUGUACGUUGUAUUAAAACAUGGUUUUAUAGCAAGACUGCUAAGGGGAAAUUCAUAAAAUCAAAGAAAUAUCUAGAAAAAUA